UAGCGUAAAUACUAAUUGUAAUUCCGGUAAGAUCUCCUUCCUUUGGAUUGCUGAUCUGCGUUGGUUUUCCAUUUCAUCACCCAUCAUCUGAUAAGAUUUGGCAAACACGUAUUAACCGAUCGAAAAUAUGCAAUAAUUCACGGUCCAGCUCGUUAUUUCUCUGUGUAAUCUAUGAUCUGUUGCUUCAUUUGCAUCUACAAUGAAAAGCUGACCAUAACUUGGAAUGUCAUUCACUGCUGGAUACAACGCAGUAUUUACUUGAUAAUAUAUUUGUCCAUGAAUUUUGAAACAAUACGGUCCAUUACGUGUUUCCCUGAAGUUAACCAAGUUAGCGUUGAACGAAGCAAAACAAACGGAACUAUUAUAACUUCUUAUUCUUUCGAAAAAAUGUCUUGAUUUAAGAUGACGAUUUUCAAAUAACUCUCGUAAUUCAUUCGGCGGAUUUGGUAUUUGCUCGAGGACCACGUCUCCAUGUGAACAACAAUCAUUGAAAGUGUUUUUAUUUGAUAUCCAUUCAACCGCAAAAUGUUUAGCAGAACACUUACCACACAACAUGUUCAUUGGACCAAUGUAAUGCUGUUCGAAUUCAUCAAGAGACUCGGUAGAGUCUCGCGCCAAGUACAUACAUACAUUCAAAAGAAAAAGGACGCGCGGACUACCGAUCAAGAGACUCGGUAGAGUCUCGCGCCAAGUACAUACAUACAUACAUUCAAAAGAAAAAGGACGCGCGGACUACCGAGUAUCUGUACCGGUAGGGGAUAGGAAAAACGCUAUAGCGCCGACUGUUUUAUUAAGUAUUUUCCUAAAUCAUUAGCUUUCUGGUAAAUUUGAAUACACUUUUGCGAUAUAAUGUGAAGUGAAACUUUCAUUUGAGCCUGAAUUGAACGGAAUUGGUGGUCGGAGAGUUGAGAUCUGAUAAUCUUUGAUCACCGGCAGACUCAUUUCAUCAGAUUCACCAUCGUCGUCAUCAUCGUAACAUCCGCUUAUAUUUUUGCGAAUAAGAAACCUUUUCACAUAAAUGUGAUACAUGUGACACCGCAAAGUAGUAACUGUCGCGAGUGAGAAAGGUUCUACUUUCUGCCGUCUGGCAGGUAGUGUCAGCGCACCGAGUUUGCAACCACACAGCGAAUCCUAUUCGUUAACCCCCAGAAAGGCAGCGUUUUGAUUGGAUACCGAUCACCGCGCUGGAUGCUUGAGGGAUAUACAGAACUAGCGGAAGUGAAAUGUCCGUCGUCUGUUGGCAAGGCUAUCAUGGCGGCCGUAACGUGACAGAGAUAGAUUCGUGAUCGCUGGAACGUAGGACGUAUGGUUGUACGGUACAUGGCCCGUGACAGACCUUUCAGUUUCGCAAAUGAACCUAAAUAAGCGCAGCUCGUUUAUCCACCUUAUCGAUAAUUGGAACGUCGGAAGUUCACUCGUCAGAAGGUCGACUACUUGUAAGGUUACGAGGUGACAGCUCGUAAGUAAACGGUAAUCGUCACCGGCAGUGAACGCGUAAUAAAGUUUCCAAUGCAUCGCAAUGCAGACGUAUUGAAUUAAAUAAGCAGGCCGUUCAAGGUCGUCGUAUCUGCAAAGCAAUUAUGUGGGUAACAAACAUCAUGGAUGCAAGACGAUCACAAACUUUGCAUUUCUAACGUGCCCACUGUAUCGAAUCAGAACUAACAUCUUCCCCCAAUUCCCAAGCACAUCGAUAUUGGAAAAUACAGCAGCUCACAUUCCGGUGUUACAAAUCAAGGGUCCCUAAUCCCACAGGCAAAAACCAACGUCGAAUGAUCCAACACCACCACCUGGAUAUUACAAAAAGACGCUUUCCCUCCUGGCACGUCACAAACUUGAGUGUUCCUUUCCAAUCCUACUCGGUUCUGAAUACUCUAACAGAAUCAGAGGCAGAAAGACUCGCCAACACAGAAGUCUUCCGCCGAUGCUUCUCAUCGUUACACAUCGCAGUCCACAACACCCAACAUAUUUCCCCAGGAGUUCAUCCAUACCAAAGGAUCCUACUUCCAUAGGUGUACCGACACCUACAAAUUCAUCGGCACUACCUAUACAAAUCCGUGAAAGAAGGUACCUCUCCAGAAACGUAACGAACGCAAAGCUCCUCUUCAAUCCCACCCGCUCAACAAAGAUCCAAGGACCCGGAACCGCGGAAGACUAUGCAAAACAAAGAAAGUCUACAUCCAACAAGGUCCGACGCAAGGUAAAAUCCCGAUCAUGCACUAGGGAGUUCUCGGUAAGCCAACUACGACCUUUGUCUUUCAUUAGUGCUUACUGCAUCGAUUCAUCACAACUACCAUGUGACCAUUUCCUAUCAGCACUUCAAUGUCAAAGAAUCCAACAAGUGUUCAUGAGUCGGUCGUUUUAUUAACACUUUUCCUUAUAGUUCAUAUCAUAACCAACACCUUCCUUUUUUCCAAUAGCGUACAGAUGUAGAACGAUUCGUCAGAACCUGAUCCAUUGCAACAAACCAAGAGCCUUUUCCCAAAGACCAAUUCUGAGCGAACUGAUGCUGAAAAAUCCGGAGCUUACUUUCACCUCACCUCACCUGAAAGAAACCAAUUUCUCUCAUGGCACAUCACCCACGAAAAACACCUUCCUCAGCGCGAUUCUACCCGGCAACGAGAACGGUAGCGAAUCAAAAGGUGAACGAACCUUCUAAACGUAGAUCUAUUUCGGAUAAAUCUUGCGAAAUCGAGUCCAGGCCAUCGGACCAACGAUUUCUUGUAAUUCAAGUACGAUAUUCAUUAUCACUCUCUAAACUUGCCGUACGAAUCCGUAAUGCCUAACACCAUCCUCUCUCCUCCUAGCAUACCGAUAACGAUGGAAAAAUUGGUUCCCGUCCCGAUACCAGCAAAUCAAAAGUUCCUGUACCCUCAAACAAAGGGCCGCCGUAAAAUUCAGAGUCUACCUCACGCUACUCGGAAAAAGACGGUCUUUUUUCUGGCCCUUCACACAACACGAGCUCUGCCGUAAACGUAUGCGCUGAUCAAAGCUGUUGUUGAACGAAAUGGUUGAAGAUCCAUUGAAUUAACGAUACAUCAACGAUGGCUAGACGCUGUCUUGUAGUCACCUAGGGAACCUAUUUUAUCGACUCGCAAGCAUUUUCCUCAGAUGCCGACGCACUGGAACAAAUGAGCAUGCAUGCCGAUGCCUCACGCAACAACCGGCACAUCGAUUAACGUUGUGACGAAGGGUAUCGAAAGAAAAGUGUGAAAUUCGUGCGGAAGCGUUUGUUUACGUAAUUCAUGUUACCGGCAAUAACAAACAACAUCCACCACUAGCCAAUGUCGACGACUACCGUGCGCGUCUCGUAAAAGUGGCCGCGAUCUACGCUUGCGUCAAAAUAUUCGAAUUUCGCAGUCCACGAGCGAGCACGAGCCUUGCUGGAGAUAACGUAAUCACCGGCGUAGGCGUCUUGUUGUGGGAUGUCACCCGCGAGAGCUGAUUCGACAGUAGAUCAGCCCUUAUAAGUGACAUCUCACAACAUUAUGCCUACGCCGGUGGCUACGCUGACUCCAGCAAUAACAAGGCUCGGGCUCGCUCGGAGACUGAGAAAUUCGAAUAUUUCGACGCAUGCUCUGAUCGCGGCCACUUUCACGUGAAACGCACGGUAUAAGCAUGUCAUGUGAGCGGAGUACUGUGUCCCAAAGUAAUUGCUGUACAUGAUAAGCAUUAGAAUGAUUGAUCUAUUUGACGUAGCAGUGAUUGCAAUGAAUGGUAAUAAAUGGGUAUUCGAAACAAAAGACACCAUCAAUGUUAUUUUCAGUUCUGGCGUUGCAUUGAAAUUGCUGUAUUGUAGUCAUCUGAAGGUCAAGGACGGUUGAAGCGGUAUCCAAAUGUCAAAGGAAAAUCGAAGCGGGUUUCCAUAUAGCGACGGGGCAAAAUAAGGUACCGUUGACAGACCAACUUGUUAUAUAACUGGUUGUAUAACCAGAAUGUUAUAAUAAUUGGCAAUCAGAAAUCGAAAUCAUCGUUCGAAUAAAUGUCAGGCUAAUCAAAUAAGCGUAUCGAAACAAAAUACAAGGGCAAAUAAUGCUCUAUAUCCUCCCCGAACACCGUCCAUAGUCAAAAGUCAGGCUUAAGACUGACUAUCGUUGUUUACAAAACAAAGAUCUUCAGUCAAUAACCGAUUAUAAUUCGGGGGUAAGUUCAGUAGGCGGAUAUAAAUAAAACGAGCAUCGUCCGGCAAUGUCGACAUUAUUGACGAGGAGGAUCAUAUGUCAGACGUUCAUCUUAUUCUUGCAGCGUCAAAUGUGAAAAUCAAACAUUGUCCAUAAGUACAACAAAAUAUUUAACGCAUCAAAUUAACAAUACCGACACAAUUACGAUUGACAAGGAGGGAACUCGUUGAAUAAUCCGUAAUUGUAAUCAGCAGAGAUCGCGGAGAUGAAAAUGAUUUCAAUUCAAGAUUUAUGGCUGUACGAACUGCAGCCCAAUCAUGUCCAGGUCACCUGUCUAGCAAUCAUUUCUGAGCCAACUACAAUAUAUGCCCUUCGUCAUACCAAGUAUACUGAUUCAUGAAGUUUAAUAUUACGUUCUCUCAUUUAAGCAUACCGAUAUUGAAGGACGUAUCAGUUUCAAUUCCAAUACCACAAACCAAAAGUUACUGCUUUCUCAAACAAAUAAACUGAAGUUGAAGUGAAUCAAAUGUAUGAAGUUAAAAAAUCUCUACGUUACCCUUUGGUAUAAUCUGCAGCCAGACUGAAACCUGGUCAUCUGCUUUGCAGUUGUUAAUAAGUCAACCAUAAUUGUUUUCUUUUAGUUCAUACUCACUGUACUCAUUCAUUAUGACUAACGCUCUCCUCUCACCCACAAUCAUACGGAUUAUGAAAGAAGUAUCAUCUGCUGUUUUGGUAUCACAAAUCAAGCUAACUGAUGCGGCUCAAUUGGACUUUUACUACCAUCUUACCGAAAAGGAACUGAUCUCUCUCUUGGUAUGUUGUCAAACGUUUAUGAGAUGCAGCUUGGAAUCCAAGAUCCAUUUCGUCAAACAAAUGAUCCAAGGAUAAUGCGCCUGGUGACUUGUAAUAUAAUUGCACAAAUACACCUAGUGAACUGAAAAACCGUGUAAGCCAAUUCGCAAAAUAGCAGCUAUCAAGCCUUUAUUCAAAUUGGACACAUGAUCUGAUGUACAGGGCCGGAUUUAAAUUUUUGCCGCCCUUGGGCACUUAAAAAAUACCGCCCUAUCACUGAAAUUUUACUUAAAGUUAUACAGUUUUGACAUCUUAUUUUUGAAAAAUCAAAGUCUUUAAUCUAUUGCAAACAAUUUACUAUGUAUUAAAUACUUUAACAUAACAUAUAAAAAUAAUUGUGUUUAGAAUAAACGUUAGAUCUAUCUAUUAAAUAAUAAAUGAUUAAUUGAAGGAAUGAAAAAAACCUAUUAAAAAAUUUUGAUAAAACUAAAAAAAAUUUUUUCCAGUUUCUAAAUUUUGCCGCCCCAAAAAAUUUGCCGCCCUGGGCACUAGCCCCGACUGCCCCUAGUGUAAAUCCACCGCUGCUGAUGUAUAUAAACUCAACCUAUAUGUAGAGUAACUAAUCGUUAGAAUAGAAACGCAUAGUACUUCACGGAAUCUUUUGAUAAUUGCUUAACUCAGAUGUGGUAGUAGCUGAAUGUUUCCUCACCCGAUGAUCAUCCUACCACAAUAGGAUACUAAAGAAACCGUAAUCAAUACUGCAAUAUUCUUUGAGAACAUACAAAAAGUUAUGAAAUCCCACAAAAGGCACCUACGGUGCAAAAAAGUUCGCCAAGUACAUCAAAUGUUCAACAGGAACUACCAUCAAAAUAUAUCUCAUGAUUAAUUAGAAGAAUGCAUGAAUAAUAGAAAAAAAAGAAUCCAAAUCAAUUACUGUGCCAAGUACAUGGAACUUUGCUACACGAAUAGAAAUUCUAGAGAAGAUUGGAAUAAAAAUGAAACAACCCUAAUAAUUAA